GUUAAUGAUGAUGCAACGCAAACUCCUCCUAUCUGCUCCUGUUGGGCUGUUGCCUUUAUCAACACAAGACAAAGUGGACACUGAGAUUGACCUCUGCGACGCCCCCCUGUGGACGCUCUUUGUAUCACCAGGAACUACUGGGCAUUACAUAUUGUUACCUUGGGUGCCCCCCUCUGCUAUAUACAAUUUUGACAAUGCACGUGGAGUGAUGCCUUAACAACAGUAUGGCAGUGGGAGUCUCUGAGGACACAUCUGUGCAACCUUAUUUUGAACCGGAGUUGGACCUGGAACAAGAAGACGGCCGCAAAGAAGGCUUAAACUUUACGCUAAGAAUUCAUGACAGGAGAAGUUGGUGGGAAAAGGUCUUCAAGGGCUUAUAACUUUCUCGGGGUCAAUCUGCUCGGAAAUCAGAAAUGGAUAUUUAUUUUU